AGAAAAUUUGGGAAUCUUUCCCUAAUUUCUUAUAUCGUUAUUUUUCUCAGUUAAUUUAAUCAUGGUAGUUUACUUUCAGCUAGAUGGACUACAAACCUACAAACAAGUAUCUAUGAUUGUUAUUAAUAUAGAAAGAGGACAUUUUAAAUGUCUUUCUUUCAUGUUAAUUCCAUUACCACUAUACGUACAUAUAGAAUGAUAAAAACAAUAAUAAUAGAUAAUUAUAACAAACAUACGUACUUGGUAAUAUUAACAGAAUUGGCCAUGUGAAGCCAUGAAAGAAGAACUUACCAAUUCCACUUUGAAAACUUCCACCACCUUCAGAUUCACAUCUGGCAUAGGCAAAACAGGACGAAGCCGACAAUAGUUUAAAUUCCAGUAUCGGAACUCUCAGAACAGUUCAGUAAAUAGAAAUAUUAUCUAAUUUUGCGACUGCUGAGUCUUUGAUUUCCUUGAUUCAUUCUUAUGGUGAAGAGAUUAAGUUUAGUAUUAAUCUCGGAUAAAGCAGCAUGAGGAGAGGCCUGUAGACGAUCGAAUAAUGAUGAUAAAGAAUUGUCAUCCGAUCCGUGCAAAUCUGAGGAUGUUGAGAUUGAAUCAGAACAGUUUAUGAGUGUGUCGGUGGACUAAGAGUGACCAGAUCUCAUCAAGCAUAAAGAGCCCGGAUAGAAACUAAUUCCACAAGAUACACAAGUCACAGGUUUGUCACUAUCACUAAUCCACAAGAUAAUACAGCAAUCGUUAUAGGUGUAAUAGAGUUCAAUAGGACACUUAUUCACAAGAAUGUAAAACAGUCCGAGAAAACUAGGUUGGUAACAGUAGAAUACACAGAGCAAAACAAGACACGGCUUAGCACAGCAAUUACGAAGUAGCCUUAACACGUCACCUCGCAAGUGUCAAGGUCACGGAAUGUCCAGUCAACUAUCCAGUCAACUAUCUUCUCGUCAUUCCUGUCACAUAAUACGUUUUCUAUAUUACACUUCUCUUUCCUCUUUCUAUUUAUAAUCUUAC